AAAUAAAUAUAUUUUACUUGUGAUUGCGACAGCUAUAUACGGAGACGAAAGCAUGGAUAGUAUAAAUAUUGUUAUGAGCAUCUGCAUGAUUGUUGCAGCAGCUACAUAUUAUUUUAAUACUCGGACGUCCCACUCUGGCACACACUUUGCAGAACGUCCCAAUUAUCACGUCAACGUUGUUAACAGACCAAGGCAAAUACAGCGUGUUCGAGACAGACGUCCGGACAUUUGCGCCGUCUGCCUACAGCCAAUGAAUCCAGGCAAUAUGCAUAGAAUGAAUUGUGGUCAUGCGUUGUGUCAACAUCCAUGCUUUGUUGAAUACCGAGAAACGAGCCGUGUAUGUCCGUACUGCGAUCAGGUUGUGAUGCGCCUUAAUGAGCCCUUUGACGAUUGCUUCAUCUGCAACGUGCCCAUGGAGUCGGAAAACAUGCACUACUUGUCGUGCGAGCACGCUCUGCACCUUACAUGUCUUCAUUUACAUAGGAGAAAUAAUUAUACUUGUCCCAAUUGCCCAAAUAACAGCUAACGUUAUCUAUACCUAUAUAGAGAAAGGGUGUUGAGUUCAGUACCAAUGCCAACGAAUGGAAUAUCGAAACACUUUAGGGCGCACCCUUCUCUUUAUACCUAACAUGUUGUCUAUAUGUUGAAUGCUUCCUUGUAGUGUUCACAAAUUUUAUUGAAAGCAAUAAACGCUGUCUAAGCUGCCUAAAGAAA